rnacentral:misc_RNA from 1 species
AACGCACAUUGCGCCCAUUAGUAUUCUAGUGGGCAUGCCUGUUCGAGCGUCAUUACAACCCUUAAGCCUAGCUUAGUGUUGGGAAUCUACGUAGCGGUGCUGCUUGCGGUUACCGUGUAGUUCCUGAAAUUCAACGGCGGAGUUAUAGUAUCCUCUGAGCGUAGUAAAUUAUUCUCGCUUUUGUUGGUGCUAUAUCCCCUGCCGUUAAACCCCCUAUUUUCAAUGUUUGACCUCGGAUCAGGUAGGAAUACCCGCUGAACUUAA